GACGAACCGUGCAAACGUUGUUCGGAAUCACUGGGCUUAAAGGGCGCGUAGGCGGGCAAGCAAGUCGAAGGUGAAAUCCCACGGCUCAACCGUGGAAGUGCCCCCGAUACUGCUUGUCUUGAGGGAGAUAGGGGCGUGCGGAACUUCCGGUGGAGCGGUGAAAUGCGUAGAUAUCGGAAGGAACACCGGUGGCGAAAGCGGCGCGCUGGAUCUCUUCUGACGCUGAGGCGCGAAAGCCAGGGGGAGCAAAGCGGG
rnacentral:rRNA from 1 species